rnacentral:rRNA from 1 species
UACGGGGGGGGCAAGCGUUGUUCGGAAUUACUGGGCGUAAAGGGCUCGUAGGUGGCGCCGUAAGUCGGGUGUGAAAUUUCGGAGCUUAACUCCGAAACUGCAUUCGAUACUGCGGUGCUUGAGGACUGGAGAGGAGACUGGAAUUCAUGGUGUAGCAGUGAAAUGCGUAGAGAUCAUGAGGAAGACCAGUGGCGAAGGCGGGUCUCUGGACAGUUCCUGACACUGAGGCACGAAGGCCAGGGGAGCAAACGGG